AGCACUUUCAGUGGGGAGGAGGGUUGACUGGUUAAGAGCUGAUUAAUUGGACGUUACCCACAGAAGAAGCACCGGCUAACUCCGUGCCAGCAGCCGCGGUAAUACGGAGGGUGCGAGCGUUAAUCGGAAUUACUGGGCGUAAAGGGUGCGUAGGUGGUUUGAUAAGUUAUCUGUAAAAGCCCUGGGCUCAACCUGGGAAGGCCAGAUAAAACUGUUGGGCUGGAGUAUAGGAGAGGGUAGUGGAAUUUCCGGUGUAGCGGUGAAAUGCGUAGAGAUCGGAAGGAACACCAGUGGCGAAGGCGGCUACCUGGCCUGAUACUGACACUGAAACACGAAAGCGUGGGGAGCAAACAGGAUUAGAUACCCUGGUAGUCCACGCUGUAAACGAUGUCAACUAGCUGUUGGUCAUAUGAAUGUGAUUAGUGGCGCAGCAAACGCGAUAAGUUGACC
rnacentral:rRNA from 1 species